UGUUUGAUGUUCUAACGUGGACCCGUAAUCCGGGUUGCGGACAGUGUCUGGUGGGUAGUUUGACUGGGGCGGUCUCCUCCUAAAGAGUAACGGAGGAGCACGAAGGUUGGCUAAUCCUGGUCGGACAUCAGGAGGUUAGUGCAAUGGCAUAAGCCAGCUUGACUGCGAGCGUGACGGCGCGAGCAGGUGCGAAAGCAGGUCAUAGUGAUCCGGUGGUUCUGAAUGGAAGGGCCAUCGCUCAACGGAUAAAAGGUACUCCGGGGAUAACAGGCUGAUACCGCCCAAGAGUUCAUAUCGACGGCGGUGUUUGGCACCUCGAUGUCGGCUCAUCACAUCCUGGGGCUGAAGUAGGUCCCAAGGGUAUGGCUGUUCGCCAUUUAAAGUGGUACGCGAGCUGGGUUUAGAACGUCGUGAGACAGUUCGGUCCCUAUCUGCCGUGGGCGCUGG
rnacentral:rRNA from 1 species